AUUGAACGCUGGCGGCAGGCCUAACACAUGCAAGUCGAACGAGUGGCGGACGGGUGAGUAAUGUUUGGGAAACUGCCUGAUGGAGGGGGAUAACUACUGGAAACGGUAGCUAAUACCGCAUACCAUCGGAUGUGCCCAGAUGGGAUUAGGUAGUCGGUGGGGUAAAGGCUCACCUAGGCGACGAUCCCUAGCUGGUCUGAGAGGAUGACCAGCCACACUGGAACUGAGACACGGUCCAGACUCCUACGGGAGGCAGCAGUGGGGAAUAUUGCGCAAUGGGCGCAAUCCGGAGGCAGCCAUGCCGCGUGUAUGAAGAAGGCCUUCGGGUUGUAAAGUACUUUCAGCGUGGAGGCGUUACCCGCAGAAGAAGCACCGGCUAACUCCGUGCCAGCAGCCGCGGUAAUUC
rnacentral:rRNA from 1 species